GGAAAUUUAUCCAUAAAAUUGGAAAUAGUUAAACAGAUCAAAAAGAAACAAAGAAAGAAAGAGAUGAGAGCAAAGAUUGAAAGAAUGAUACCUGAAAUUUAAUAGAUAAAUAAGAAGAUGAAAAGAGUUAUUGUUGAAAGUUUGAAGAAGGAGAACUGAAGUACUCCUCCGAUGUGUUGGAACAAAAGAGAUGGAAAUCGGAAGAUGUUUCUAGACCCACGUCGUGUAUGGAGGAUGAGGAAAAAAAAGGUCGGAAGAGAUGGAGUUAGAUACAAGCACUUUUUCUUUUGAGCAAAAUGACAAUUUUGCCCCGUGGUCGACCAUCUCUCCUUUUCUUUUCUAUAUAAUAGAAAAAAGUUAAAAAAAUAGGAGAUGAGUUGGCACCUCUCUUUGGCCAAGGAUCUUAUUUAUCUAUUUUCUCCUUUUUUUGAGUUUAUUCCCAAUAACUCUAAAUAUUUUGGUUUACUUCUCCUUCCUUAAUUCCUAAGAUUAAUGUCUAUUAAGGUGUAAUAGUGUGUAAUUACACUAAAUAUUACUCCUAUUCCAUUACUAGGCAUUCCAAUAGUCACUUUCUCAAUCCCCUCCUUAAUUACUCUAAUUACUCUAAUUACUCUCUUCUCCCACUCCAAUGUGUUAUUUACUUUGUAUAUAUAUAAGCCAAACAAGACAAGGGGAGUUGGCCAUUCGUUUGAUAUUCUAUUUGAUCUUUUGGCUUUCCAAUUCUAACAUUUUUUACUUCUUCUUAACAUAUUUUAUUUUCUUGAUUUAAAACUCUUUAUCUUCCUCAAUUUUUGUCACCUUAUCGUUUGGCUUCUCAUGUCACCUUAUUAAUAGUAUUGUGAAUUUUUUUUGUCUAGGUGAAGGUGUUUUUUGAAGAAAAUAUUAUAUUUUGAAUGAUAAGAGUACGUAGACGAGGCUUAUCCACAUUCUGGUAAAAAAUCUUCAUUUGAAAGGUAAACUAUAUAAUAUUGAUAUUUUUAACAUAAUUUUUACUCCUUUGUGCAAUAUAUACAUAGCUAUUCCAAUUUCUAAUUUGACAUAUAUUAGCUUGUAAUUUUUCUAUGGAAACAGAAGUAAAUCAAGCCUAGAAUAGUUGUCCAGUUGAAAAAAAAAAUAUUUUGUAGAGAAUGAUUUAUUGGAACACCUUUAUGACCUUUGAAUUUUAGUUUGCUGGAAACUGGUUUUUAUUAUUAAUUCAUUAUUAUUUAUUUUUUUAAGGUUAAGGAUGGUCCAGAAAGAUAUUAUACUAUAAACUGAGUUGUGUUUUUGCUAAAAAUCUUUGUUGCCAUUGAUAUAAAAAAUCGUGUUAAUGAGCCCUUCGUGAGAAUUCGGGGUUUACUCUGAAAAUUAUAGUAACUUUUUGCUUACUAUGGAGUUCUUAUCUUCAUUUGCCUUCUGUUGGAGACUUGAGUCACUGUAGCACACAUUUGUGUGUUGUGAAUUUCUUUUUUUAGUAGUAUGUGAAUAUGUACUUCACUUGACAUUUUUUUUUGUUGUGAAAUUGGAAGAUGCAAGUGUAUAUAACCAAUAAUAAGUUGAUAUUUUUGCUUUCUUUAUGUUUUUACUUUCUUUAGUUUUCAUUGUUUGUUUCUUCAAUUUGAAUAAGAAAACAAUACAUACCUAUAUUUAAAAGUGAAAAGUUUCUUAAAAAUUCUUUUUAUUUUUAUUUUAUUUUAGAAAAGAGGUUUGAUGAUGAAAUAUGCAGUAAAAUAUUCUACUUUCAGUAAAUAUAUUACCUUUUUUAUUUAAUCAAUAUAAAAGAAUUAAAAAUUAUAUGCAUAUACAAGAAAAUUGUUAUUUAUUCUAUCUCUGCUAAGUUUAUAAAAAUAUUAUUUCAAAAUUUAUUGCUAUCUUUAUAAUUGCGCGAAGCGCGAUCAAAUUCACUAGUAUCUUUAUAACUCUCAAGAAUACAUGUUCAUUUAAUAUUCAAACUUCUAAAUUUUAACACGUUGUUUUUUCUGUCUAACUAACUUUUCAAAUAUGAUUUUAAUAUUUUCUUACAUUACUAAUAUUUUUAAUUCCAUGUAACUUUAUAAAACGAAGAUUGCCAUUAUACUCCAUAUUAAACGAACACCAUCAUCAAAUAAUAAUAGACGAGAAAACAUGAAAAUAAUUGGUGAGUUGUGCAAAAGAAUGUUUUUCUUCCACUCAUAAAAUUUCAAGUUUUAUUUUUCUUCUAAAUAAACUGUAUGUGCAAACACCACUUCAACUUCCAAAAAUUAAACCUCAAUGCUGACAAAUGAUGCAGAUUCUCUAGUGUAGAAUUGCGAAAACAUUAUAUGUAUGUUGUUUUGAAGGGCAUUUACAUAAUUAAUUAAUAAUAUAUCCGAAAGGGAAAAUUAGUUGGAUCAUAAUUUUUUAAUUAAUAAAAAAACAUAUUAAAAGAAUUGUCACAAAAAAAUCAAAAUAAGGAAGGUAAGGAUAAUAUCCAAAACCACGAGGAAGAUAAGUGUGAUGGAGCGAAACAUGAGGAAAUGUCUCUCAAAUUUAAUGGUCCAUUAACUACAUCACCAUUUUUUUAAAUAUACUCUUUUGAGAAUUGAUUACAUUUUUUAUAUUCCUUAGAAAUGCUUCAAACUUUGUAUUAAAUGACCCAUUUCCUACAUCUCGCCAUGGUAUGCGAACAGUUGGAAUGGCAAGUUCCAACAAAGCUUUAUAAAGAAAAGUAAAAAGGCAUUUAAUAAGGAUAUUUCCUAUGUGAUUUCAAAACAAUUUUGAUGUGUGCUAUACUAAUAUGAAUAUAUAUAGUGUGCUUGUCACUUUUGUGCACUUUUCGCUUUUAAAAUAUUAAUUGUGUCUGUCUUUGGUUCAAUAUAUUGAGUUUGUGGCCAUAGAAUUGAAAAACUGAAAGUUAUGGAAUAUCUUUGGUUGGGCAUUCUUGAUCAUCAACCAAGUCAGCAAACCAUUGAAUCAGUUACCUGUUUGGUUUCUAGUUAAAAAAUGACUUACAUAGGAUUAAUGACUUAGUCUUAUUAACUGAAGACUUCCACUUUAGUUAAGUAAUGGGCAUACUUUUAUCUUUAAGUAUGAUAUCUAUGUGUGAUAAGAUUUUUGAGAAUAAUCAUCUUGUUUGACAUAGAAUUGAGAUUAAUCUUGAUUCUUUUAAACACUGUUUAACCUAAAAAUACUAGCUUUUAUGGUCAAAGCAAUUAAAGAAAUAUUGCGAGUCACUAACAACCGAUUUACUUCACUUUUUCAGAUAUAAAUGUUAAGAAAAAGGAAUAAAUGUUAAAAGGGAACAAAUUGAGAGAUAAAAGGAAAUGAAAAUCUUACUGAUGAUUGUACCCUUUCUUCCUUAUGAGCACAAUAAUAAUUUGCCAAAAAUAGAAGGCAAAGAUGGGACAAUGUGAUUGAGAGAAUAAUUAAAUAGUUUUCUAUAGGGAUACAAGAUGUGGAAUGUGGGUUUAAAUAGUAAUCCCAUUCAUAGUUGUUCACCUUGUCUAGCUCAUGCUCGUUACUGUUGUUUAUUAAUUGUCCGUUACAUAAUUAAUUUAUAACAGAUGAAGUAAUAAUAGCAAAUCGGGGAUUGAUUGAUUCUUUCCUUAUUCAUAUCUAUUAAUAACCCUUUCCAUUAGACCCGAGACUAUUCUCUUAUAUUUAGUUCUGAGACUAAAAGACAUAGUAUGAAUUUGUUCAACCCGAGGGUGUUUCACAUAUCAUCACUUUUUUUUGACACAUGUCGUCAUUUAAUUAGCCUAUGUGGCAACUCUAUCUUCUACUAAUCAAACACUAUACUGUUUUGAUAAUUAUAACACUUGAUGCCAAGAUUAAUCGAAUAUGCACAUAAAACAUAAAGAAACCCUUACUCUGAAGUGGUAAUUUUACUAUAAUGAUCAUAAUCUCCAAAAGGAAAAAGAAAAUAGGGUAGCGAUGGUAGAGCUACAUUAUUAGCAACAAGUUCGGACGAACUAAUAAGCUCUAACUUUUUAUUCAACUUAUCUAUGAUCAUAAUCACAUGGAGUUCCUAAUGAGUAAUAUUAAUUAACAAUGAAAGAAUUAGGUGUUGUUGCUCCCAAACGCACACGCAAGUAUAUGUGGUCAACAAGUAAUAUUGUAAGUCUAGAUAUCGUACGCACUGAGACUUGUAAUUAACUAUUUACUAAAUUAAACUAAGACAAUUAAUAUAUUCAAGCGAUUAUCUAAAGUAUGAAUAUUUAACUACAACUAAUCUAGAGUAGCAAACUAAGAGAUUAAAGGAAACAAGUCUGCAAUCUUAGAGAUGAAUUCAAUAGGAGAAAAUAUUCUAGAGUUAUGGGUUAGCUAACAAUCCCGUUGAGUUUUCAACUUAAAUCGUCUAAUUAAUUUAUCUGGUUUAUUGAUUGACAGGGUUAAUAUUGCUCGUAGCCUUCUCCCGAAGUACUAUUCGCCUAUUCAAGCUAACUUAACACCUAUAUUCCUAUGGAAUUAGGAUUAGCAAGAACGCAUUAAUAAUUCAUGUAUAGUAACCAAGCAAGGCGAUUAAGUAUAUCCCUGUCCUAACCGCA
rnacentral:lncRNA from 1 species